rnacentral:rRNA from 1 species
GAUGAACGCUGGCGGCGUGCCUAAUACAUGCAAGUAGAACGCUGAAGGAGGAGCUUGCUCUUCUGGAUGAGUUGCGAACGGGUGAGUAACGCGUAGGUAACCUGCCUGGUAGCGGGGGAUAACUAUUGGAAACGAUAGCUAAUACCGCAUGACAACAGUUAUUGCAUGAUAACUGUUUAAAAGGGGCAACUGCUCCACUACCAGAUGGACCUGCGUUGUAUUAGCUAGUUGGUGAGGUAACGGCUCACCAAGGCGACGAUACAUAGCCGACCUGAGAGGGUGAUCGGUCACACUGGGACUGAGACACGGCCCAGACUCCUACGGGAGGCAGCAGUAGGGAAUCUUCGGCAAUGGACGGAAGUCUGACCGAGCAACGCCGCGUGAGUGAAGAAGGUUUUCGGAUCGUAAAGCUCUGUUGUAAGAGAAGAACGAGUGUGAGAGUGGAAAGUUCACACUGUGACGGUAUCUUACCAGAAAGGGACGGCUAACUACGUG